rnacentral:rRNA from 1 species
CGAAGUUAGUGACGUCACACUGCCAAGAAAAGCUUCUAGCGUUUAAACAUACUCUACCCGUACCGCAAACCGACACAGGUAGUCGAGGCGAGUAGCCUCAGGUGAGCGAGAGAACUCUCGUUAAGGAACUCGGCAAAAUGACCCCGUAACUUCGGGAGAAGGGGUGCUGACUUUAAGUCAGCCGCAGUGAAUAGGCCCAAGCAACUGUUUAUCAAAAACACAGCUCUCUGCUAAAUCGUAAGAUGAUGUAUAGGGGGUGACGCCUGCCCGGUGCUGGAAGGUUAAGAGGAGUGCUUAGCGUAAGCGAAGGUAUGAA